rnacentral:rRNA from 1 species
GAUUAACGCUGGCGGCAUGCCUAAUACAUGCAAGUCGAACGGAGUAGCAAUACUUAGUGGCGAACGGGUGAGUAACACGUAUCUAAUCUACCAUUUAGUGGGGAAUAACUGUUGGAAACGACAGCUAAUACCGCAUAAUAUUGCUGGAUAAUUUCCAGUAAUGAAAGGAGCUUUCAAGCUCCGCUGAUUGAUGAGGAUGCGGCGCAUUAGCUAGUUGGUAGGGUAAUGGCCUACCAAGGCAAUGAUGCGUAGCCGAUCUGAGAGGAUGAACGGCCACAUUGGGACUGAGACACGGCCCAAACUUCUACGGAAGGCAGCAGUAGGGAAUUUUUCACAAUGGGCGAAAGCCUGAUGGAGCAAUGCCGCGUGACUGAUGAAGGUCUUCGGAUUGUAAAGGUCUGUUGUAAGGGAAGAAAUGGUAAAACAGGAAAUGGUUUUAUCUAUGACGGUACCUUACCAGAAAGCCACGGCUAACUAUGUGCCAGCAGCCGCGGUAAUACAUAGGUGGCAAGCGUUAUCCGGAUUUAUUGGGCGUAAAGGGUGCGUAGACGGUUUUGCAAGUCUGAGGUUAAAUUUAGGAGCUCAACUCCUAAUCGCCUUGGAAACUACAAGACUAGAGUAUAGGAGAGGUUAGUGGAAUUCCAUGUGUAGCGGUGGAAUGUGUAGAUAUAUGGAGG